UUUUUUGUAAACGAUCGCAUCCCUUAUUGGGCCACAUCUUGCGUGUAAAGGCAGCCACGCCUCUGCUUCUUCAUGUCAUCUCUGUUUUAUAGUUCCUGGGAGAGAGAGAGAGACGAAGACGCAAAGUUUAGAGCGAGAAGAAGCACUCGCGAAGAGAGAGAGAGAGAGAGAGAGAGAGAUGGAGCUAACACCGCUUCCGGUGUUCCAGGCGGCGCAAGACGGUGCUUCUAUCUUCGGAGGAAGACGGGUUGUGGAGACGGGUGGUGGUGGCACUUCAUCAUACGCCUAGAACGUGGCCGGCGGUCCCGUAUAAGAAAUGCCUUACUGGUACGUGGGGAACCAUAGCUAGAGUCGACAACUAUCUAGCGUCUUUAAAUGUGGAUCUCUUAGGGGUGAUUAAAGGAAAAGUGGGUAAUGGGUCAAAAAUUAGAUUUUGGGUAGACAUGCGGGUUGGUGACAAACCGCUCAGGUUGGUGUACCCGAAUCUAUAUGAAUUGGAGAAAAAAAGGGAUGCAUGGUAGCGCAUAGGUGUGUGUCACGCAGUGGCCUAAUGUCGUAUCAAUGGGAGUGGAAAAGAAAUAUUAUGGAUGAUAUGGAUGCGGAUAACUUGUUGGUUUAAUGAUUUCGAUCAGUAAUGUGCAGUUCAGUAGGUCAAUUGAUACUUGGGUGUGGGUGGAGGAGGCUGCAGGUGAGUUUUCGGUGGCUUCGGUCAAGCGUGCUAUUUACAAGGCCCGUAAUGUCAAUCUGAUAAAGACGUUGGAUUGGAAUUCUUGGGCGCCCAUCAAGUUAAGUCUGUUCGGCUGGAGACUAAGUUUGCGCAUGCUUCCUACGAUGGAUGAACUCAUUAAAAGAAGAAUUUGCUGGGGUCCGAAUGGAUGCUGUUUGUGCCAUUCUGCAGAGGAAUCAGUAGAUCAUAUUUUCACAGAAUGUAUCGUUGCGGCUGUGGUUUUGCAGCAAAUUAGCGUGUGGUGCAAGAUCGCUCCCUUUUAUGCCUUUUCUAUAGAAGAUCUGUUCGGGUUGCAUAAAUUGAUCUCAGGUAGUAGCAUCAAAAAAGGCAGUCCAAGUCGUUAUUCUUGCUACUUGCUGGAGUUUAUGGCGGGCGAGAAACAAUUACAUUUUCUCCAAUGUUCCAGUGAAGGUCAGAAGCAUAUUGGAAGAGAUGAAAUCAGUUUGCUAUUGUUGGGUUAGUAACAGGGGAAAAUCUAUUGAUAUGGAUUGGAAAAAGUGGAAAGGAUUUAUAUUGUAAUGCUCCAGUUAGUUGUUGUGCUCGGGCCUUUGCCAGCUCCUUGGUGGUAGUUGGUUUUUGGUUUUUUUUUGAAUUUCGCUGUUCCAAAAAAAAAAAAAAAAAAAAAA